rnacentral:rRNA from 1 species
GUCCACGCCCUAAACAAUGUACACUUGGUUGCGGGAGCUUUGACGCUUUCGUGGCCGGAACUAAAGUGUUAAGUGUACCGCCUGGGGAGUACGGCCGCAAGGCUAAAACUCAAAGAAAUUGACGGGGGCUCACACAAGCGGUGGAGCAUGUGGCUUAAUUCGAAGCAACGCGCAGAACCUUACCAGGGCUUGACAUGUACGGAUUAGGUGGAUGAAAGUUCACUGACGCUCGCAAGAGUGGAACGUACACAGGUGCUGCAUGGCUGUCGU